UCGGGUGGGGGAUAACCUCGGAAAACUGAGGCUAAUACCCCAUAGACCUCGGAUACUGGAAGGUUCCGAGGCCGAAAGCUCCGGCGCCCGAGGAUGGGUCUGCGACCUAUCAGGUAGUUGGUGGUGUAAAGGACCACCAAGCCUGCGACGGGUACGGGCCCUGAGAGGGGGAGCCCGGAGAUGGACUCUGAGACACGAGUCCAGGCCCUACGGGGCGCAGCAGGCGCGAAACCUUCGCAAUGUGCGAAAGCGCGACGAGGGGAGCCCGAGUGCCCUUCCUUCGGGGAGGGCUUUUCUGGAGCCUAAAAAGCUCCAGGAAUAAGGGCUGGGCAAGACGGGUGCCAGCCGCCGCGGUAAUACCCGCAGCUCAAGUGGUGGCCGCUUUUAUUGAGCCUAAAGCGUCCGUAGCCGGACCCGUAAAUCCCUGGGUAAAUCCUGGCGCUCAACGUCAGGAAUUCCGGGGAGACUGCGGGUCUUGGGACCGGGAGAGGCUGGAGGUACUCCCGGGGUAGCGGUGAAAUGCUGUAAUCCUGGGGGGACCACCUGUGGCGAAAGCGUCCAGCUUGAACGGCUCCGACGGUGAGGGACGAAGGCCAGGGGAGC
rnacentral:rRNA from 1 species